GUAGGAGGCAAGCGUUAUCCGGAUUUACUGGGCGUAAAGCGUGUGUAGGCGGUAUGGUAAGUCGGACGUGAAAGCUCCUGGCUCAACUAGGAGAGGCCGUUCGAAACUUCCAAACUUGAGGGCAGUAGAGGGAGGUGGAAUUUCAGGUGUAGCGGUGAAAUGCGUAGAUAUCUGAAGGAACACCAGUGGCGAAGGCGGCCUCCUGGACUGACCCUGACGCUAAGACACGAAAGCUAGGGGAGCGAACGGGAUUAGACACCCCGGGUAGUCCUAGCUGUAAACGAUGCAGACUUGGUGUUGGGAGUGUAAAAACUUUCAGUGCCGGAGCUAACGCGUUAAGUCUGCCGCCUGGGGACUACGACCGCAAGGUUA
rnacentral:rRNA from 1 species